UUGUCGCUGUUUUGUAAUCGAGCAGCAGAGUUUUAAAUUUGAUGCGAGCAGUAACUGGGAGCCAGUGUAAGGAGGUGAACAGCUCUUUUACAUAAAUGAAUGGACCUCACAGGUCACCUAAGGGUGCAGUAACAGUCCAUUCAGUACUGGGCUGCAUUGGAUUAAAUUAACUGGUCGUGCAAAUCUGUACUUCCUGUUACUUCUUCAUGUUCUCCUCUGUCCUGUCUCUCUACAGGAUCCUGCACUGCCAGUUGGACCCUCUUUGUUCUUCUGCUCGUCCUCGUUGUUGCUGCUGUCUUGUGUUGCUUCUAUAAACGUAUGGAAAUUGCAAGAUUCAUACUACGGGAAGAAGGCGGCACACGAGGCAAGAGGCAAAAGGUUCCAACGACUUCCAGCUCACCUGAAGGCCAUGACAGAGUAGAAGAAGAUGGAGGGGAAACAGAGGGAGAGCUUUGAAAUCAGUCGAAGCAACAGAAGAGGAUCACAGCUGGACUGAAGGUGAUUUGCAGACUUCCAACACUAUUCAUUCCUGACGCAGCCGUUAGUGAAAAUAGGCAGUAUUCCUGGUGCUUUACAUUUUGUUGAUGUCAUUGACAUUGGUUUUAAAAAUAGCCAAUUUCUCAAUUCAGAUAUUUAAAGUUAUUGUUUCCAAAUAUUACAACUGAACAGCUAGUAGUAUUAUCAAAAAAAGAAUGUCAAAAAUGAACCUGAAGGUUAAGAGCUUUUCUGAA